CCUAAUGUUGUCUUUACUUAAACAAUCAAGUGUACUUGACUAAACAUUACUUAAAAUGUUGCAUUUUGGCCCUGUCACUCAAAAAUAUAAGUUCAAAUAACUUAUUUACCUUCAAAAUACGAAAACUUAAGAUUUCAAGUGCUGUGAACUCAAAAUAAUGAUUAAACCUUACAAAAGGUCAUUUUCAAAAAUGUCUUAACUGUGAAAUGAUGAUACAUUCAUUCAUGCUUUCUUUCUAGUGCAAGGUGUCAUUCUAUUUUACCAGUAAACAAAUGGCUUUCAUUUUACAAUUAUUGAUCGUAAUGGAAAUAAACUGAUGUUUAUUUAAAAAAAAACUGAUACUUUAAACUUGACAAAUAAACUUUAUUACCCAUAUUCAAGUGCUUUUGUAAUACUGGGGGUUGCACAAUUUUCAUACAUUUCACGUGCACAUAUUUGCCACGUGCCAAAAUGCAUGAAAGAGUUCCUCACAUCAGCCAACAACCAAGUCUCAAUAAAAAAAAAAUAAAAAAAAUAACAGAAAUACAGCGACGACACAUUAUGUUGAACGUUAAAUCAAAUUCAUUUCAAAGGUUUAAAACGUCUCUCUCUGAUCUUCCUCUGAUGCGAUUUGUCACGCAAGCAGUUCUGCAUGGCAACAAGAGAACUAAUGCGCUGAUUGGUGGAUUACAAAAUUGGUGAUUUUCGCAUCGUCGUCUCGUCAGUUGCUGACACCAGUUCAAAUGUGAAGACGGGACGGGAGUUAUUCUUUGUGUAACAUUCUCGUGAGAUACAUAUUCGACGAUCCUUUUUUCUGUGCAAGAAAGAACAUGGCAGCUAUGCACAGACCAUGUGGGUUAUUUUUCCCGGGCAAAGUUCAACAGAAUUGCUGGCAAAAAACCUAAAGCAGGAUUUCUACGAGAACCUUGAUAGAUAUAGUCCACGGUUCAUGGACCUUUUUUGAGCCAAAAGGGGGACUCCUGGUCAGUAACGGUUACUUGGCUAACUUUUUGAAUCAAAUAAAGUUAGCCCAGCCAACGGAGGUCCUAACCCUUGUGAUUCAAGGACUACCUAUCAUGCUUGGAGAUGAUGGUGACUCUUUCUUCAAGUCAUGUUUAGUGUCUGAUCAUCGCAACUCCAUCCUUAAUGUGCAGUUGGGCAUCUUAUUUGAGGACACUGACCUUCAGCCCCC